CACACAAACAUACGCAUGUACACAGAUGCAUACGCGCACACAUGUGCACGCACAUACAUGCAUACAUACAUACAUGCAUACAUACAUACAUACAUACAUACAUACAUACAUACAUACAUACAUACACACGUACGUAUAUAUCAUGAACUAACUGUUACUUUCUCAGAUGCAGCACAGAAUUUUGUCAGUGAACAGGUCGCGGUCUCAAAGCGACGAAAAUAUUUUGGCGAAUUAAAUUCAAAUAUUGAAGUGAAUCUAACGGGUUUUGUGUGUUAUUUUAAAUGGCUUAUAAACACCUUCCACGCUGCAAUUGUUUUCGUUCCAGCACACGAUCUCAGAUCAGGUCACUUGUUUUGCGCAUGACGUGCACUCGCGCUAGGUAGUUGUAGAAUCGACUAGUCACGACUCGCUAGUGCAGAUGCGCGAGUGUGCGAAUGAGUGCAACGGGACCACCCUUCUCGAAUAGUUACCCAUGCAGUAUUCGUCUGACCUCUUACAGCUCUGGUCGUUUGACCACACACCAACCAGCCGGUUUCCAGCGACGACGUCAACACCACCGAUCUACUGUCUACUACGAUGUCAUCGCCAGUGCCAACAACACCACCAGAGUAUACGCUACCAACAGCAAACGCGGUUCCUUCUCAACACUGUUUGUGUGGAUUGCUUCCACCUCGAAAAUAACAGCCAGAACAACCUGCGAGAAUCUUCUGUAUUCAAGUAACCAGUCACAGCAUCAACACUCAACUUCACACACAACAUGUGACACCUCAGCUCUGCUAUUUGGCCAUGACUUCUUGUGUACGGACAUUCUACCUACUGUGUAACUCUUCUAUGAACUGGUGUUUCUCUAUCUUUGUGUUCAGGACUCUUAUAGUCUGUUACAGACUCUUAUUCCAUGUACUGUAUUUCUCAUUCACAUACACACACAUAUUAUUGUAUACACACUCUUGUACAUGAAGGUCUGUCUUAUGUAUUAUAUUACUUAUACUGCCGCAUGCAUGCACACACAGACACACAGUUCACUAUGCUAAUAAACUUACUCUUUAUAUAUAUCUAACGGUUGUGUCUCUGUCUCUCACUUUCCUUGCUGGCACUUGCUCGCAUUUCACAUGCGAGCCCUCUUAUGUCAUAUUAUAUGUUUUGUGUCGACCGUGCGACACGUUAAAAGGAGCCUGCUUCCAUACGUUGCCAUUCUCCUUGGUUCGCACGGUUGUUCUCUACAAUAUCAUAUGUUUUUAUAUAUUUUAUAUUUUAUUUUAAUUGUACAUUCUUUAUGUUUCCCCAAUGUAAUUGCAUGUCCCUCUUUGUCGGCCCCUCGUGGGUAAUAAAGAAAUAUAUGCUGAAUA